rnacentral:rRNA from 1 species
GCCGGCCACACUGGAACCUUGAAGACCACGGUCCAGACUCAAACGGGAGGCAGCAGUGGGGAACUCUUGCACAAUGGACCGAAACGUCUGAUGCAUGCAACGCCGCGUGGGGGAUCGAAGCUUCUCGGAGUGUAAACCCCUUUCGACCCGGAAGAAUGCCCGCAAGGGUUUGACGGUACGGGUAUAAGAAGCCCCUGGCUAACUACUGUGCCAGCAUGCCGCGGUAAUACGUAGGGGGCCAGACGUUAGCUACGGAAUUACUGGGCGUACACAGGGUCUGUAGGCGGUGCGGCAAGUCGAUAGUGAAAUCCCUAGGCUUAACCUAGGGGCUGCUAGGCGAAACUGCCGUGCUAGAGUGUGAGAGAGGCGAGUGGAAUUACGGGUGUAGCGGUGAAAUGCGUAGAUUCCGUCAGGAACAUUCCGAGGCGAAAUGCGGCUCGCUUGGCAUUCACAACUGACGGCUGAGAGACGAAAGCUAAGGGGAGGCCAAAC